rnacentral:rRNA from 1 species
UACGGAGGGGACUAGCGUUGUUCGGAAUUACUGGGCGUAAAGCGCACGUAGGCGGAUUUGUAAGUCAGGGGUGAAAUCCCGGGGCUCAACCUCGGAACUGCCUUUGAUACUGCAAAUCUCGAGUCCGGAAGAGGUGAGUGGAAUUCCUAGUGUAGAGGUGAAAUUCGUAGAUAUUAGGAAGAACACCAGUGGCGAAGGCGGCUCACUGGUCCGGUAUUGACGCUGAGGCGCGAAAGCCAGGGGAGCAA